UUGUCCUGUGACUGCGUACCUUUUGUAUAAUGGGUCAGCGACUUAUAUUCAGUGGCAAGGUUAACCAUCUAGGGGAGCCGUAGGGAAACCGAGUCUUAACUGGGCGUUCAGUCUCUGGAUAUAGACCCGAAACCAGGUGAUCUAGCCAUGGGCAGGUUGAAGGUUGAGUAACAUCAACUGGAGGACCGAACCGACUAAUGUUGAAAAAUUAGCGGAUGACUUGUGGCUAGGGGUGAAAGGCCAAUCAAACCUGGAGAUAGCUGGUUCUCCCCGAAAGCUAUUUAGGUAGCGCCUCGGACGAAUACUACUGGGGGUAGAGCACUGUUAAGGCUAGGGGGUCAUCCCGACUUACCAACCCUUUGCAAA
rnacentral:rRNA from 1 species